CGCGAGCAAAAAUCGAGUACUACUCAGACACAAUAUCAACCACUCUCUCUCCACCACAAAAUCUAACCCCCCUUCUCUCUCCUCGAUCGCCGGGUGUUCGCCGCCGGUAUUGAUUUCAACACCGCAAACGAAAGGCCGGUGCAAAUUUUCCUCCAUUAUCGAAGGCAAUGUGGGUUUUGUCGUUCGCUUGCGUGGGUUAAGCUCGCUCGGGGUUUUCGUCAUUGGUACUUUCGAACACUCUUGUUCUGAAAGGUGUUGUAUUUCGCUGCAAUCACACUCAUUGAACUCGAAACUGCAAAAUGUCUUUCCGGAACAAGGGAUUUUGGAUGGGAAAGGGUGGGGGACAUUUAAAUGUUGGGGAUACAACAUAUGAUGACCCAUCAAGGAUUGAACCAAAGCGUUCUCAUCAUUGGUUUGCUGAUGGUUCUGAACCAGAGCUAUUCCCCAACAAGAAGCAAGCAGUACAAGCUGCAAAUAGCAAAUCAACCACAGGAAUUUUACAUGCAAAUGCUUCUCGUUGGGAGAGUGCUGCCAGUUUUCCAUCAGUCCCAAGUCAAUUCAUGGACCGGUUAUUUGGAGGUGAGACAAACAUUCCAGAGCAAAACAUUUUCCUUGUUGGUACAGAUGACUCAAAUAUGAGGAAAAAGGGUAUCAAUGAGCAGUAUGGAAAUGAGUCAUCUGUGGGUUUGUCUAUGUUUCAUAAUAUGGAUGACCCAGAAACAUGUCUUAGCUAUGGUGGAAUUAGAAAAGUUAAAGUCAAUCAGGUUAAGGACUUUGACAACAGUUUGCAUGCACCAAAGGAACAUAAUAGUGCCAUGUCCAUAGGUCAGGCCUAUAACCCGAGAAAUGAAACCAGUUUCAUAUCAAUGGGGCAGGGCUACAGUAAGGAGGAUGAAAGUGUGAUGUUAAUGGGUCAGACCUACAACAAAGGCAAUUCCAACAUCAAAUCCAUGAGCUCUGCCUUUGAAAAGGCGGAUGACAAUAGCAUAUCAAUCAGUCACUUCUAUAAUAAGGGAGACACUAAUACUAUAGCUUUUGGUGGCUUUCAUGAGGAACCUGAUAUUGACACACUGGCUCAGCCCUUGAACAGCUGUGAGCCCUUGAACAGCUAUGAGUUGUUAAAUGAUCAAUCUUCUGUUCAAGCAUCAGAAACACUUGACAAUAACUCAGACAUUGGUGCAAGUGCAGUUGCAUGUGUCUCUCAGGUAGCUAAAUCUAAACCCCAGUCUGUGUCUAAGAAUAAGUCAGAGGUUAAAGUGGGUAGGAAUGUGGCUCCAAACAGUUUCCCUUCAAAUGUUAGAAGCUUGAUAUCAACUGGUAUGCUUGAUGGAGUGCCUGUGAAGUAUGUUUGUUUGUCACGGGAGGAGCUCCGUGGAAUUAUAAAAGGUUCAGGCUAUCUUUGUGGAUGUCAAGCAUGCAAUUUCAACAAGGUGCUAAAUGGUUAUGAGUUUGAGCGUCAUGCUGGUUGCAAAACAAAACACCCAAACAAUCACAUAUACUUUGAAAGUGGGAAGACUAUUUACCAGAUAGUCCAAGAGUUGAAGAACACCCCUGAGAGUCAGUUGUUUGAUGCUGUUCAGACUGUAACUGGGUCACCAAUUAAUCAGAAGUCCUUCCGUAUUUGGAAAGAUUCAUUUCAAGCAGCAAGUCGUGAGCUUCAACGCAUAUAUGGAAAGGAUGAACUGAAUCUGUAGUUUUAAAACCGAUGAUGAGCUUCUUGUGGAAAUGUAAGAUAGGAAGUCCUUUAAUGGAAUUUGCCUUGGUGCAUCGGAAAAGACGCUUUGUUAAUUGCUCAACUUGGUUGGAUGUUUUAUAUGUUUCAACAAGUCUGGGAAUCCACUUAUCUACAAGAUUUUUCCGGAUGGAUGGUUGGUUGUGUGAUAAAAAUUAUAUUUAUAUAACAUGAAAUUUAUACGUAGAAUAAAUCUGAAUUAUUAUAGAAUAAUUAUGCAUAAUUUUUAGGUAGUUAAGUUUGAAUUUAUAUUAUUAUUGUAUAUAUUUUACAACAAUCAUACCAUCAUUGGGUCCUCA